GGGACACGUGGUAUCCUGUCUGAAUAUGGGGGGACCAUCCUCCAAGGCUAAAUACUCCUGACUGACCGAUAGUGAACCAGUACCGUGAGGGAAAGGCGAAAAGAACCCCGGCGAGGGGAGUGAAAAAGAACCUGAAACCGUGUACGUACAAGCAGUGGGAGCACCUUCGGGUGUGACUGCGUACCUUUUGUAUAAUGGGUCAGCGACUUAUAUUCUGUAGCAAGGUUAACCGUAUAGGGGAGCCGCAGGGAAACCGAGUCUUAACUGGGCGUUAAGUUGCAGGGUAUAGACCCGAAACCCGGUGAUCUAGCCAUGGGCAGGUUGAAGGUUGGGUAACACUAACUGGAGGACCGAACCGACUAAUGUUGAAAAAUUAGCGGAUGACUUGUGGCUGGGGGUGAAAGGCCAAUCAAACCGGGAGAUAGCUGGUUCUCCCCGAAAGCUAUUUAGGUAGCGCCUCGUGAAUUCAUCUUCGGGGGUAGAGCACUGUUUCGGCUAGGGGGUCAUCCCGACUUACCAACCCGAUGCAAACUACGAAUACCGAAGAAUGUUAUCACGGGAGACACACGGCGGGUGCUAACGUCCGUCGUGAAGAGGGAAACAACCCAGACCGCCAGCUAAGGUCCCAAAGUCAUGGUUAAGUGGGAAACGAUGUGGGAAGGCACAGACAGCCAGGAUGUUGGCUUAGAAGCAGCCAUCAUUUAAAGAAAGCGUAAUAGCUCACUGGUCGAGUCGGCCUGCGCGGAAGAUGUAACGGGGCUAAACCAUGCACCGAAGCUGCGGCAGCGACACUAUGUGUUGUUGGGUAGGGGAGCGUUCUGUAAGCCUGCGAAGGUGUGCUGUGAGGCAUGCUGGAGGUAUCAGAAGUGCGAAUGCUGACAUAAGUAACGAUAAAGCGGGUGAAAAGCCCGCUCGCCGGAAGACCAAGGGUUCCUGUCCAACGUUAAUCGGGGCAGGGUGAGUCGACCCCUAAGGCGAGGCCGAAAGGCGUAGUCGAUGGGAAACAGGUUAAUAUUCCUGUACUUGGUGUUACUGCGAAGGGGGGACGGAGAAGGCUAUGUUAGCCGGGCGACGGUUGUCCCGGUUUAAGCAUGUAGGCUGGUUGUCCAGGCAAAUCCGGAUAAUCAAGGCUGAGGUGUGAUGACGAGGCACUACGGUGCUGAAGUAACAAAUGCCCUGCUUCCAGGAAAAGCCUCUAAGCAUCAGGUAACAUCAAAUCGUACCCCAAACCGACACAGGUGGUCAGGUAGAGAAUACCAAGGCGCUUGAGAGAACUCGGGUGAAGGAACUAGGCAAAAUGGUGCCGUAACUUCGGGAGAAGGCACGCUGGUGUGUAGGUGAAGUCCCUGCGGAUGGAGCUGAGACCAGUCGAAGAUACCAGCUGGCUGCAACUGUUUAUUAAAAACACAGCACUGUGCAAACACGAAAGUGGACGUAUACGGUGUGACGCCUGCCCGGUGCCGGAAGGUUAAUUGAUGGGGUUAUCCGUAAGGAGAAGCUCUUGAUCGAAGCCCCGGUAAACGGCGGCCGUAACUAUAACGGUCCUAAGGUAGCGAAAUUCCUUGUCGGGUAAGUUCCGACCUGCACGAAUGGCGUAAUGAUGGCCAGGCUGUCUCCACCCGAGACUCAGUGAAAUUGAACUCGCUGUGAAGAUGCAGUGUACCCGCGGCAAGACGGAAAGACCCCGUGAACCUUUACUAUAGCUUGACACUGAACAUUGAGCCUUGAUGUGUAGGAUAGGUGGGAGGCUUUGAAGCGUGGACGCCAGUCUGCGUGGAGCCAACCUUGAAAUACCACCCUUUAAUGUUUGAUGUUCUAACGUUGGCCCCUUACCGGGGUUGCGGACAGUGUCUGGUGGGUAGUUUGACUGGGGCGGUCUCCUCCCAAAGCGUAACGGAGGAGCACGAAGGUUAGCUAAUCCUGGUCGGACAUCAGGAGGUUAGUGCAAUGGCAUAAGCUAGCUUGACUGCGAGCGUGACGGCGCGAGCAGGUGCGAAAGCAGGUCAUAGUGAUCCGGUGGUUCUGAAUGGAAGGGCCAUCGCUCAACGGAUAAAAGGUACUCCGGGGAUAACAGGCUGAUACCGCCCAAGAGUUCAUAUCGACGGCGGUGUUUGGCACCUCGAUGUCGGCUCAUCACAUCCUGGGGCUGAAGUAGGUCCCAAGGGUAUGGCUGUUCGCCAUUUAAAGUGGUACGCGAGCUGGGUUUAGAACGUCGUGAGACAGUUCGGUCCCUAUCUGCCGUGGGCGCUGGAGAAUUGAGGGGGGCUGCUCCUAGUACGAGAGGACCGGAGUGGACGCAUCACUGGUGUUCGGGUUGUCAUGCCAAUGGCACUGCCCGGUAGCUAAAUGCGGAAGAGAUAAGUGCUGAAAGCAUCUAAGCACGAAACUUGCCCCGAGAUGAGUUCUCCCUGAGACUU
rnacentral:rRNA from 1 species